GAAACGGCUACCACAUCUAAGGAAGGCAGCAGGCGCGUAAAUUACCCACUCCCAGUUCGGGGAGGUAGUGACGAAAAAUAACAAUACAGGACUCAUAUCCGAGGCCCUGUAAUUGGAAUGAGUACACUUUAAAUCCUUUAACAAGGACCAAUUGGAGGGCAAGUCUGGUGCCAGCAGCCGCGGUAAUUCCAGCUCCAAUAGCGUAUAUUAAAGUUGUUGCGGUUAAAACGUUCGUAGUUGAACUUGUGCUUCAUACGGGUAGUACAACUACAAUUGUGGAUUGUACAUUACCUUAUGUAUGCAAGCGUAUUAUCGGUGGAGUUCUUAUAUGUAAUGGUACUUGUAUUGUUAUAUAUACCUCCUAUUUAAACCUGCUUCAGUGCUCUUCAUCGAGUGCUGUUGUGGGCCGAUACAAUUACUUUGAACAAAUUAGAGUGCUUAAAGCAGGCUCCAAAUGCCUGAAUAUUUUGUGCAUGGAAUAAUGAAAUAAGACUUCUGAUCUACUUUCAUUGGUUUUUAGAUCAAGAUGUAAUGAUUAAUAGAAGCAGUUUGGGGGCAUUAGUAUUACGACGCGAGAGGUGAAAUUCUUGGACC
rnacentral:rRNA from 3 species